rnacentral:misc_RNA from 1 species
CCGAGUUUACCAACUCCCAAACCCCUGUGAACAUACCCGAAACGUUGCCUCGGCGGGACCGCCCCGGCGCCCUCUGCGGCCCGGAACCAGGCGCCCGCCGGAGGACCCAAACUCUUGCUUUGAACAGUGGCAUACUCUCUGAGUCUCACAAACAAAAAUGAAUCA